AUCCUUCCUUGUACCUUUGUAACAGCUGUAAAGCCAGAAACCUCUCAAGCAAAGUGGAAAAUGCCUGUGAGCACCUUUUUCUCCUAAUUGGUAGACAUUUGUAUUAACCGACCUCUCACCAUUAGGGAAGGGCCACGGAUCAAACCCUUCAAGGCAACAUCAGAUCUAGUUGUGUUCCUGACAGGUCCCUGCUGCCAGCACCUAGAAUAUACUCAAGUCCAGUACUCAAUCUGGCUCCACUCAGGAAAGCAACUAUCAUGAUACUUUGGGGCUUCUAAAUAUUUCAAGACCAAAUAUAUCAAUAUUAGAAGUCACUCAACUUCUGCUGACUCAAUUUUGACCAUUCAAGCUGCUGUUUUCAUCUCUUCUCACUAGGAAUAAAGGUUUCCAGCAAAAUGGUCAGGUAAGAGCAGCUUUUGUAUACAUGAUAUAAAAUCAUCUACCUCACUGUCCUGUGGUUGUAUUAAAUCCACAGGAUUAGCAGGGGAAUCACUGAACUAUUAUUUCCCUGUUCAUCAUGUUGUUUUAGUACAAGAAAGAUGAUGUACCAAGAUCUUAGGGAGCUGCUGUUGGGACUUAACAUUACUUACAUCAAGGGGAAAAUAAAAACAUCAAAAACUA
rnacentral:lncRNA from 1 species